UACAGAGGGUGCAAGCGUUGUUCGGAAUUAUUGGGCGUAAAGCGCGUGUAGGCGGCUUUGCAAGUCGGGUGUGAAAGCCCUCAGCUUAACUGAGGAAGUGCGCCCGAAACUGCAGAGCUUGAGUACCGGAGAGGAUGGCGGAAUUCCCCAAGUAGAGGUGAAAUUCGUAGAUAUGGGGGAGGAACACCGGUGGCGAAGGCGGCAUCCUGGACCGGCAUUGACGCUGAGGCGCGAAAGCCAGGGGAGCAAACGGG
rnacentral:rRNA from 1 species